rnacentral:rRNA from 1 species
AUGCAGCAGCAUGCCCCAAGUUCAUUGGUUUGGCCUGCGGCGGCGCAUCUUCAGGGGCGGGGGAGAGGGGGGAGAAUGAGAGGCCUGGCGGCGGCUCAGGACCUGCUCGCCGGCGAGCAUGCUCCGGCGGCUCCCUGGCGUGCGGGGUUGGAUCGGGGCACUAGUGUUUCCCCGCCGCCGCCCCACAGCAGUCAGGGGUUGACGGGGAGAAAGCAGUCGGGCGGCGACGGAGGCGCCGAUGGCUCGGACGACAUCUAUGCGACGACGACGGCUCGGGAGCGGAGCGCACACACACAUAUGGAAUGCAAGCCGCCGGUGAAGACAGCUUCAGCGUCACUGCCGAGGAUAGAAUCACGGAAAGGUCAGCUUCAUAUGAAGUUAGGAACCCACCGCAAGGACCACGCUCAGAAGACCAUCCCGCUGGAGGAGAUCCUGAUUAUCGAUGUCAAGCCGGGGUGGAAGAAGGGCACGAAGAUCACCUUCCGAGAUGGAAGGAUCUAA